GGGCCCGUAGCUCAGCUCGGACAGACCUGAACGGGUCAACAGCGCCGGCCUUCGGAGCCGGAGGUCCCGGGUUCGAGUCCCGGCGGGCCCG
rnacentral:tRNA from 2 species